GUGUUUUGAUCGACCAGGAGGGUGCUCCAAGGAGCAAAACCCUAGUUCACACCAAAUGACCAAAUUGAAGCUCGAAUCAAGACUUAAAUCAAUGCAUGAACACAAAUUCGUAAUCACCUAAGUGUGGGGAUCGAAAGUUUGUCGCCUAACGAGCUAGGUGGAGGCUUGAGAAAGAAGCGGUCAAACGAAUCAAGCACGAGAAGAAAAAGCGUAUUCGGAUGCGAGGUAAGUAUAGCUUACACUAGUCUUAGAUUGUGUAAUAUUCUCUUAGCGUAUAAAUAACGAAUGAGAUAACUAAACAAUUGAAAUACGAUGUUCCGUCGUGUAGGCGUACGGAACUAGAUAAUCAAAGAUGAAAGAAACCAUAAUAAUGGUAAAAAAGGAAGUAAAUCGAUAAUUCGGUCAUAUUAUGACGAAAGUGGUAAUAAACGGUUUAUAAGUAAAAUGAUCGUACGGUGUUAAACGGAGCGGGUCAUGUAGAUGAGAUGAUAAUAAAUAUCAUCUCGCAAAGAUAAACGGUCAAUUCGGCCAAACGGGUCAAAAGGUGUAGACAUCACCUUUUGACAAUAUUGACUAAUGAUCUUUUGUCGAGUUAUAUGCUUACAGGAAUAGAAAUCCAAUGGAUACUCGCAUCGCUCUUAUUUAGCGAUUAUAAAGCAAGGUAUUAAAACCGGGUUAAUAAAUUGAUCCGAGCCAGGUAUGUAUAAUAGAUCAACUCAUCAUUUAGAACUUGAAGUUCUAUGAGAGUUAGGCAAAGUAAAAGGGACAUUCGGUUAUCUUAAAAGGUAAACCGAAGGAUUUAGAUUAUAGACAGAGUGUUUUGAAAACAAGAUUUGGUAAAAAAAUGAGAUUUUGGGCAUGCAUGACUUACGCAAGCCCUUCGUUGUAAAAGAAGGGUUAAAAACGACCAAAACGCCCUCGUAAGCGAAAUUAAGCAAACAACCCUUAGAAGUCGCUUGAAAACGAGUUUUAUAAUCAAGUUAAUACUUAGAAUAAGUAUAAAAGUGAAAGAUGUAAAUUCUUGGUCAAAAGACUCUAUAUGAGUCUUUGUCGUAAAAUAAUAAUCCGAGGGGUAAAACUCGGAUUAUAUAGAUCGCCACAUUUAAUCCAUCACAAAUAUAGUUGUGAUGGAAGAUCAUUGAUAAAUAAUGUGGAAAUAAGAUGCUAGGAAUAAUCGAGUGUGAAUUAUGCGUAAAAGUGCUUAAAUGCCCUUAACGGGUCAAUUAAACAUCUAAGUAAAAACGGGUUUAAGAAUGUAUAUAAACCCGUGAUUUGAAUCUAAUAUGAUAACAACAUGGAAAUGAUGAGAAUUUAGAAUCAAACAACAUGUUUGUUUGAUAAAAUCACGAACGGGUCAAAGUUUGGUAAAAAAGGUAUUAAGCCGAAAACUUAAAAGACUUAGAUUUUGUUAAUCCGGAUGUUGGAUUUUAACCCCAUAUGAUGGAGAAUCAAAUUACAAACACGUAGGAAGAAACGGUAGGCCAAACGGAAAAGCGGAUUAAAAGUUAUAAAGGUUUCCGUUUUAGAAAACGGCAAACUUGGAAAAUCCCGCAGAGGCCACCGUAAGUUACGGUAGCUACUGUAACUUACGGUAGCCUAUAUAUCUUUACGCCAUGAACUCCCUGUUUUACGGUGGACCCUGAACAAAAAUGUAUUUUAAUUAAGUUUUGUUUCUCGGACUAGUUUUAGAUACGUUUUAAACCUCGUAUGACUAAAGCAUUUCAUGUUUAUGAAAUAUAGGUACAUUUUGGAUGCUGGAAGACGAUCAAGCUCAUCGAAGAACCGAACACGAUAAAGAUACAUGCUUCCGCACAUUGCCUCGUCGUAAAUUUUAAACGACAAAUUCGACCACUUAUGUUGAAUAACUUAUGAUUUGUAAAAGUUUUAAUAAACUCGUAUUUUUAUAGUAUGUGUAGUCUUAAUUACACAUCUAAUUGUUGGUAUUUACAUAUAAAACCGUUAAAUAGUAACUAGGGUGUUACAGAGUUGGAUAAACUUGAUGCAA
rnacentral:lncRNA from 1 species